rnacentral:rRNA from 1 species
GGGUUGUGAGGUUAAGCGACUAAGCGUACACGGUGGAUGCCCUGGCAGUCAGAGGCGAUGAAGGACGUGCUAAUCUGCGAUAAGCGUCGGUAAGGUGAUAUGAACCGUUAUAACCGGCGAUUUCCGAAUGGGGAAACCCAGUGUGUUUCGACACACUAUCAUUAACUGAAUCCAUAGGUUAAUGAGGCGAACCGGGGGAACUGAAACAUCUAAGUACCCCGAGGAAAAGAAAUCAACCGAGAUUCCCCCAGUAGCGGCGAGCGAACGGGGAGCAGCCCAGAGCCUGAAUCAGUGUGUGUGUUAGUGGAAGCGUCUGGAAAGGCGCGCGAUACAGGGUGACAGCCCCGUACACAAAAAUGCACAUACUGUGAGCUCGAUGAGUAGGGCGGGACACGUGGUAUCCUGUCUGAAUAUGGGGGGACCAUCCUCCAAGGCUAAAUACUCCUGACUGACCGAUAGUGAACCAGUACCGUGAGGGAAAGGCGAAAAGAACCCCGGCGAGGGGAGUGAAAAAGAACCUGAAACCGUGUACGUACAAGCAGUGGGAGCCUCUUAAUGGGGUGACUGCGUACCUUUUGUAUAAUGGGUCAGCGACUUAUAUUCUGUAGCAAGGUUAACCGAAUAGGGGAGCCGAAGGGAAACCGAGUCUUAACUGGGCGUUAAGUUGCAGGGUAUAGACCCGAAACCCGGUGAUCUAGCCAUGGGCAGGUUGAAGGUUGGGUAACACUAACUGGAGGACCGAACCGACUAAUGUUGAAAAAUUAGCGGAUGACUUGUGGCUGGGGGUGAAAGGCCAAUCAAACCGGGAGAUAGCUGGUUCUCCCCGAAAGCUAUUUAGGUAGCGCCUCGUGAAUUCAUCUCCGGGGGUAGAGCACUGUUUCGGCAAGGGGGUCAUCCCGACUUACCAACCCGAUGCAAACUGCGAAUACCGGAGAAUGUUAUCACGGGAGACACACGGCGGGUGCUAACGUCCGUCGUGAAGAGGGAAACAACCCAGACCGCCAGCUAAGGUCCCAAAGUCAUGGUUAAGUGGGAAACGAUGUGGGAAGGCCCAGACAGCCAGGAUGUUGGCUUAGAAGCAGCCAUCAUUUAAAGAAAGCGUAAUAGCUCACUGGUCGAGUCGGCCUGCGCGGAAGAUGUAACGGGGCUAAACCAUGCACCGAAGCUGCGGCAGCGACACUAUGUGUUGUUGGGUAGGGGAGCGUUCUGUAAGCCUGUGAAGGUGUACUGUGAGGUAUGCUGGAGGUAUCAGAAGUGCGAAUGCUGACAUAAGUAACGAUAAAGCGGGUGAAAAGCCCGCUCGCCGGAAGACCAAGGGUUCCUGUCCAACGUUAAUCGGGGCAGGGUGAGUCGACCCCUAAGGCGAGGCCGAAAGGCGUAGUCGAUGGGAAACAGGUUAAUAUUCCUGUACUUGGUGUUACUGCGAAGGGGGGACGGAGAAGGCUAUGUUGGCCGGGCGACGGUUGUCCCGGUUUAAGCGUGUAGGCUGGUUUUCCAGGCAAAUCCGGAAAAUCAAGGCUGAGGCGUGAUGACGAGGCACUACGGUGCUGAAGCAACAAAUGCCCUGCUUCCAGGAAAAGCCUCUAAGCAUCAGGUAACAUCAAAUCGUACCCCAAACCGACACAGGUGGUCAGGUAGAGAAUACCAAGGCGCUUGAGAGAACUCGGGUGAAGGAACUAGGCAAAAUGGUGCCGUAACUUCGGGAGAAGGCACGCUGAUAUGUAGGUGAAGUCCCUCGCGGAUGGAGCUGAAAUCAGUCGAAGAUACCAGCUGGCUGCAACUGUUUAUUAAAAACACAGCACUGUGCAAACACGAAAGUGGACGUAUACGGUGUGACGCCUGCCCGGUGCCGGAAGGUUAAUUGAUGGGGUUAGCGGUAACGCGAAGCUCUUGAUCGAAGCCCCGGUAAACGGCGGCCGUAACUAUAACGGUCCUAAGGUAGCGAAAUUCCUUGUCGGGUAAGUUCCGACCUGCACGAAUGGCGUAAUGAUGGCCAGGCUGUCUCCACCCGAGACUCAGUGAAAUUGAACUCGCUGUGAAGAUGCAGUGUACCCGCGGCAAGACGGAAAGACCCCGUGAACCUUUACUAUAGCUUGACACUGAACAUUGAGCCUUGAUGUGUAGGAUAGGUGGGAGGCUUUGAAGUGUGGACGCCAGUCUGCAUGGAGCCGGCCUUGAAAUACCACCCUUUAAUGUUUGAUGUUCUAACGUUGGCCCCUGAUCGGGGUUGCGGACAGUGUCUGGUGGGUAGUUUGACUGGGGCGGUCUCCUCCUAAAGAGUAACGGAGGAGCACGAAGGUUGGCUAAUCCUGGUCGGACAUCAGGAGGUUAGUGCAAUGGCAUAAGCCAGCUUGACUGCGAGCGUGACGGCGCGAGCAGGUGCGAAAGCAGGUCAUAGUGAUCCGGUGGUUCUGAAUGGAAGGGCCAUCGCUCAACGGAUAAAAGGUACUCCGGGGAUAACAGGCUGAUACCGCCCAAGAGUUCAUAUCGACGGCGGUGUUUGGCACCUCGAUGUCGGCUCAUCACAUCCUGGGGCUGAAGUAGGUCCCAAGGGUAUGGCUGUUCGCCAUUUAAAGUGGUACGCGAGCUGGGUUUAGAACGUCGUGAGACAGUUCGGUCCCUAUCUGCCGUGGGCGCUGGAGAACUGAGGGGGGCUGCUCCUAGUACGAGAGGACCGGAGUGGACGCAUCACUGGUGUUCGGGUUGUCAUGCCAAUGGCACUGCCCGGUAGCUAAAUGCGGAAGAGAUAAGUGCUGAAAGCAUCUAAGCACGAAACUUGCCCCGAGAUGAGUUCUCCCUGACCCUUUAAGGGUCCUGAAGGAACGUUGAAGACGACGACGUUGAUAGGCCGGGUGUGUAAGCGCAGCGAUGCGUUGAGCUAACCGGUACUAAUGAACCGUGAGGCUUAACCUUACAACGCCGAAGGUGUUU